GACGAACGCUGGCGGCGUGCUUAACACAUGCAAGUCGGGCGGUAAGGCCCUUUCGGGGGUACGACGAGCGGCGAACGGGUGAGUAAACACGUGGGUGGACCUGCCCUCCAGCGUCUGGGAGUAAGCCCGGGAAACCGGGUCGUAAUAACCGGACUAUGACUCCAUGACGCAUGUUGUGGGGUGGAAAGCCUUGUGCGGCUGAGGAUGGGCCCGCGGCCUAUCAGCUUGUUGGUGGGGGUGAUGGCCUACCAAGGCGACGACGGGUAGCCGGCCUCGAGAGGGCGACCGGCCACACUGGGACUGAGACACGGCCCAGACUCCUACGGGA
rnacentral:rRNA from 1 species